UACGGAGGGGGCAAGCGUUACUCGGAAUUAUUGGGCGUAAAGGGCGCGUAGGCGGCUAGAUGUGUCAAAGGUGAAAUCCCUCGGCUCAACUGAGGAACUGCCUUUGAAACUGUCUGGCUUGAGGCCGGGAGAGGGUAGCGGAAUUCCCAGUGUAGCGGUGAAAUGCGUAGAUAUUGGGAAGAACACCGGAGGCGAAGGCGGGUUGCUGGGCCAACACUGACGCUGAGGCGCGAAAGCCAGGGGAGCAAACGGG
rnacentral:rRNA from 1 species